GGGGAUUUAGCUCAGUGGCAUAAGCGCCUGCCUGGCAAGCAGGAGGUCAUGAGUUCAAUCCCCG
rfam:Cavia porcellus supercont2_4 genomic scaffold, whole genome shotgun sequence.